AGGAGGUCCUGCUGGCAGAGGUUGUCUGCCAGCAUAAAGAACUACGUCUGAAGAGUACAGUCAUGGACAAUGUGGAAUAUGAUAAACAGAUUACCGAGAAUAUCCUUCUGGUACCAAUAAAAUGCGAGAUCAAUCCCAGUGAAAGUAAUUCUGACUGUAAUUCUCAGUCAAUGAGAACAGACAAGAAUGAUUAUAACGAACAUGGAAAGGCCUUUGAAAAGAUUAAAGUUAGAGGAGAAACACAGGUUUCUUCAGAGUUUGCUGCUGCUGCAAAUGCAGAAUGUGAUUCAGGGCAGUUGCCAGACAAGCAAAAUUCAUCCUGUAGUAAUAUCCACAAAUGUGGAGUUUGCGGGAAGGAGUUUUCCCGAAAGUCAGACUUUACGGUCCACCAACGUAUACAUACAGGUGAAAGGCCAUACAAAUGUUCAUAUUGCACCAAGGGUUUCUGUCAGGCUUCCAUGGUCCGUAGACAUGAGAGGACACAUACAGGGGAAAAACCCUAUCAAUGUACAGACUGUAACAAGUCCUUUUCUCGUUCAACAUCUCUCUUGAUCCACAGGAGUAAGCAUACAGGAGAAAAGUCAUACCAAUGUGAUUGUGGAAAGACAUUUAGCAGUAGAAUACUUCUUCAAAGGCAUCGCCAUACCCAUAUGUUUGACCCACACCAUUGCAAGAUUUGUGGGGAAGUAUUCAAGAACCAGUUGGAUCUUCAGGUGCAUAAAAGCAGCCAGCAUCCCGAAAAGUACUACAAUUGCUCCCAGUGUGGAAAAUGUUUUACUCGCCUGCACUUACUUAAAAACCACCUAAAGAGCCAUGUAGAGAUUCAUCCUAAGAAAAACACAAAGAUAGCCAAGAAAACAUCUAGUGACCUAUCAGAAAAACCUCACAAAAAAUUAGAUGGUAAACAACCCAAACCUGCAGACAUAAAAGUUACUAUGAAGAACCCUACAGCCCUUGUAAGAACUGAAACAUGUCCCUCGGUCUGUCCAGAAUGUGGUAAGACGUUCACCAACCCUACUGCAUUGCACAAACACCAGCUAAUCCAUAAGCAAGGAUCUCUCAUAUGUGCAGAGUGUGGGAAGACUUUUGUUCGAAAGUCUGACUUGACUGUACAUUUACGGAUACAUUCGGGGGAAAGACCAUACAAGUGCUCAUACUGUGGAAAGGGAUUUUGUCAGACAUCUAUGUUAAGACGUCAUGAAAGAACACACACAGGGGAAAAGCCAUAUCAGUGUUCAGACUGUGAUAAAUCUUUCUCUCGUGCUACGUCUUUGCUUAUUCACAGGAGUUCCCACAUCAAAGACAAGCCAUUUAGGUGCAAGUCUUGUGACUCAACUUUCUCCAACACCACUCAGCUACGCCAGCAUACCAAGACACACAGAUUUUCUUCACCCCCACAGAGUGAUAUGUGCAACAAAUGCAGAGAUGGGAUGUAUGUCUGCAACAUGCAUUGCUCUGUUAAAACCAGCGAAGACCCCUUCCUUUGCUCUGACUGUGGGAGAACUUUCAGCAGUGACUCAGGUCUCCAGAGGCACUUGCUUACACAUGUACAGCAGCCAUUUCCUUGUAAGGUCUGCAGUGAAGUCUUCAAUAGCCGCUUUGAUUUUCGGAUACACCAACGCAGUCAUCCACCAGAUAGACCAUUCAUUUGCGCCCAGUGUGGUAAAUGCUUUCCCCGUCUUAAUCUUCUUCGCAUCCACCAGAAUACUCACACAGGUUACCGACCCUAUGAAUGUUCACUUUGCAAAAAGACAUUUUCAGACCCAUCCACUCUGAGACAGCACCGCCAGAGACAUCGAGGAGUGAAAUUCUCUCCAUGUAAAGAGAAGCAUAGUGAAACACUACAGGAGAACGUUAAGCCUCCUGUGCUCAUUGAAGAAUGUCACUCAAUAUGUCCUGAGUGUGGAAAAGCAUUAAACAGCCCUACCGCUCUUCAGAAACACCAGCAAUCUCAUGAGAAAGAGUUACUUCUCUGUGCAGAGUGCGGCAAAAACUUUGCUAGAAAGUCAGACUUAACCGUGCACUUGAGAAUACAUACAGGUGAGAGGCCCUAUAAGUGCUCAUAUUGUGGGAAAGGUUUCUGUCAGGCCUCCAUGGCACGCCGGCAUGAAAGGACCCACACAGGCGAGAAACCUUACCAGUGCUCAGACUGUGAUAAAUGCUUCUCGCGCUCCUCUUCCCUUCUAAUCCACAGGACCAAACAUAUAGAUGAGAAACCAUUCAAAUGUGUUUCUUGUGAUCAAACCUUCUCCAAUCCAAGCCAGCUGCGCAUGCACUCUAAGAUUCAUGAUGAGAACCCAAGUGUUAAUGAACCAAAGUAAAAAGCUCUGUAAAAAAAAGCGAAACACAAAAUCACUUUAUAGUGCUGCUGAAUGCAAAUAUCUGCAAUGUCAGUUUAAUGUAGAUCAUCCUUCUAUAAGCAGAAAAAUGACAUGGUACCAAUACAGUAUAAAUUAUACAGUUUUACCUAUUCAUUGUGUCUACAAGUACACAUGUUAAAAGCUAUAUAUACCUGAAGUUGUGCAUUUUACAUAAUUGAAGAAUAACUAGAAUUGCAUUUUGGGACUGCUCACAAGCAUCGUGCCUACUUCUGGCAUAGAUGUAGCAUAAAGAGGGAUUGCUAGGUUCUUAAACCUCCCCACCUUCUCUAAAACCCUUUGUGUCUCUCUCCCCAGUUCCCUAAAUCCUCUUUUGUUUCUUUCCCCUAAAUCCUCUUUUGUUUCUUUCCCCACUCCCCUAAAUUCCCCUAUGUCUUACACCCUAUAUGACCUAAGCCCUACUGCUACUUGACUCUAGCAGUAGAAGGACCGUGUCAAGACCUGUUCCAUUCUGCGGAUAUGUCUGGCCUUAGCUUCUGUUAUCCAGUACUCUUUUUACAAUUCUUGUUUAGUUUUUCUUGGUUUUUCUGGUUUUCUAUUCUAUGUCUGGUUAUCUUUAUGCUGGGUUUUCUCGGUUCAUUCCUUUAUUCCGUUCCUGGAAUUCCCAGUCUCCUGGAUUCCUUUAAAUGUUUGUUUUUUGUUGCCACACCCGUUCCUUUGCCAUUAAUCCUUUUUGUUUCAGUCUGUUCCUGCAGGCAGUGGUUUAACUUCCUCUUCUCCUUUAUUUGCAGGUAAGUAUUGUUUGUGUUUUAAUGUUGUUUAUUUAGUCAUGCAUAUCUAGGCAGUUAGGACCCACCGUAAUUGGAGUACUUUGGCGCAGUGGUGGUCUGCAUUCAUCUUG